GUGGCAGCGGAGUUGUCGUCGUUACAAUAAACCCACGGGAGGAUUAGUAAUCAGCGUAGCGUCGAGGAGAAACCGGUGGGGAACUUUGCUACCGGGCAUUUCACUUACUCCGAGGUGGUUUUACUGUAGUGGUUCUAUGAAACGGCAGAGAAACGCUUCUAAUCAUACCCACAUAUUUAUUCACCUAAGUGUCCGCUCCAAACCUCCCAGAGACGUUUGUCUUGUUUCAGAUCUGGAUACCAUGAAAGCUAAUUAACGUUCUUAUGCAAUACCUUUGUCAGUAACUGCUGGCUGUGGAGGAACAGUGAACGAACAAGGAUAUUCGCCAUCCGUCCGAACCCAGAGCAGCGCCAACGCGGAUCCACACCGCCUUCAACACCAUAAGGCCGGUGCUUCUGAGAAGCUGGAGGAGGCAGGAGCGGACAAACAGCUGACUGCAUGGACGACCGACGACCUCACCAACUGAUAACAGGUUGCUCUCACCGUUCCUCUUCACCUUCUACACCUCGACUUCACAUACAACACCAACAGCUGUCACAUCCAGAGGUUCUCAGACGACUCAUCCGUCGUUGGCUGUGUGUCUGAGGGGACCGAGCUGGAACACAGGUCAGUCUCAAGGACUCUGUGGACUGGUGUGAGUGCAACCACCAGUUAAACACCAGUAAAACCAAGGAGAUGGUGACUGACCUCUGGAUGAGAACAACACAUCACAUCGGUAAAAAUCCAGGGUUUAGACAUAGAGACUGUGGACAGUUCCUGGGGUGUUCACCUCAACCAUAAACUGGACUGGACUAAUAACACUGAUGUCCUGUACAAAAAGGGCCAAAGUGGCCUCCACCUGCUGAGGAGACUGAGGACCUGGAGUGUCCAGGUCCACAUUAAGGACCCUCUAUGACUCUGUGGGGGCCUCGGUCAUCCACUAUGUGGAGCAGGCAGGAAAAGACUGAAGAAGCUGGCGACGAAGGCCAGCUCUGUCCUGGAAUGUCCACUGGCCUCUGUGGUGGAGGACGUUGGCCAAGCUCACAUCCAUCAUGGACCGUUCCUCUCACCCACUGCACCAGACUGUGGGAGCUCUGAGCUCCUUCAGUGGAGACUGAUCCACUCAGUGUAGGAAGGAGCGCUACCUCUACAUUAUACAAUGUACAGUCGUGGCCAAACGUUUUGAGAAUUACAUAAAUAUUGCAAAUUAGAAAAGUUGCUGCUUAAGUUUUUAUAACAGCAAUUUGCAUAUAAUCCAGAAUGUUAUAUUUCAGUACAUCACAGAAACAACUUUGUGAAAACUAAUAUUUGUGUCAUUAUCAAAAUGUUUGGCCACGACUGUAGAGGUCUGACAGGCUCAAAUCUGCACUCAGUUGUUUGGUCGCUUUAUCCUGGACAAGUGCUGUACUGUAUGUGUGAGGUUGUGGAUCUGUUGGACAUGACUCUGUUCCAUGCUAAUUCUGGCCCAUGCUCCCUCAAAUUCUGCCCAAGUAUGGUACUACAUGCCCGAGCUGUAAAUAUGUACAUAUGUUUAUUAUCAAUAUUAUUAUUAGUGUUAUUACUAUUGUUUCUAUGCUCUUAUGUCUCUUUUUAUCUUGCAAGCUCCUGCACAAUUCCUUGGUUUCUGGCUGUUCCAGCAACUGAAUUUCCCCACUGUGGAAUCAAUAAAGUUCAUCCAUCCAUCCA